CAGGAAAGAACUGCUGAGUGCAGAUACC
rnacentral:piRNA from 1 species